rnacentral:ncRNA from 1 species
UGUGAUAGAGGCGCGGCCGACAAGAGUAACUCCGAAAAGCGACAGGAAUCGCGGAGCGAAAGGGGAGGCCGCCGAGGGUUGAUACGGGUUCCUGUCCGUAUCUUCGCCGGAUCGUCGGGAAAUACCCGCCGGACUGUCGCCGAGAGGCGGAGAGCUGUC